AGUUUUUAAAAAAUGGAUAAUGCUAGCAGAGUACCACAAGUUGUGCACUGAAUCUCAAAGUGCAGUGCACUGGGGUGGACUGCUUUCUUAAAGUCCAGUAUCCUUUGUCUUAAGAUUUGGUGCAGUAUAA
rnacentral:snoRNA from 1 species